rnacentral:lncRNA from 1 species
UUGUGAUUUGUCAAGACAAGUUGGGUAUCAGGAUUUUUGCAUGAAACCUCUCAGUUUUUAAAUACUGGAAACUAUCUUAAAUGUUUUUUAAAAACUCAGUGCAGCCCUGGCAAAAUGUCCCUGCAUCCUGUGUCCUACCCAUGAACCAGAAGUUUGCCACCACUGAUGAACGCGGUCUGACACAGUCCCAGAUGUUUGAGCAGAAAGCAUGACUGAAAAGAUCUCUGGAGAAGCAUUGAGAAAGACUUGCCAUUAGAGAAGGGUUUUGAUGUCUGUUUGUUGUUCAAUGUCAAAGGCAAGCCUAACGCAAAUAAUGUGUUUUUCUUGUUCUUCUCAGUGAAGCAGCUGGGUUGAUCCCUUCAUCUGGUCAUCAGACACAUAGCCCUUCAGUGCUACACCACCUUAAAAAUGAAACCUGAACGACUGUCCUUGGUGUUUAUCUUGAUCUGGGUUGAUUUUCACCAGGCCACCCUGCUAACUGUUCCUCUUUGUCAGCUUAAGCACAGCUCAGCACAUUUCCAUCAAAUCCUGCCCUGUCCAGUGCCUUGCUUGGAACACUGAGUUAAGUAUUAAGAGGAAACAGAUAAAUGUGUUUGACCCAAAAGAACCUCCACGCAAAAGAAUUAAACAGUAGACAUAAUUCAGAUAUUUGAGAACUGAUUCAGGUCCAGCCUCAUGAGACAGUGAACACUUUUGUAAAACUCACUUACCGGAGUUUUGGUUUUUGGUUUGGACAUGUCUUCUUAAGUAUGGCCUUUGUUCCAUACUUAUGAUACUGACUCUUAACUUUUGAGAUUUUGCAGAUGUGUGGAAUGGCGUAGGAAAGUGAAAAGUCUAAUAUAAGAGAAGCACUGUUGUAAGUUAAAUGGAUGUAAUAAAAAGCAUUCUGCAUUUGAGAAUCUAGUAACUUGGUUGUUGCCUGGCUAGGGGCCAGGUUCGCAUAUCUUGUUAGAUAUGUGAGCCUAUUCAAGUUAUUACUUCAGCUUGCAGUGAAAUGAAUCAAUAUUAAAACCACAGAGAUUCCCACAGCAACUCAGCAGCUUAUCUAAUAACUUAACCUCACUCUCCUCAUUUUCUUCUUGAAACUAAUAUCUGCUGGUUCAUAAAACCGUUAUAUGCCUGCCUAUCUUGCAGCCUCCUUCUGAGGAACGUGUCUUGGGAGUUUGAACUGUGGUGCCUUCCCACCUACUGCCAGGGACCCUGUCAUCCUGACCAUAACAGUCUGGCCUGGACCUCUGGUCUUUGUUGGAACGAAAAGGAACUAUAAGGAAACUCAACAAUGAGGCAGCUUGGUGUGAGGCUGCCUAAGAGUAGAGUUCUAUAGUGAAAGGUGUCAUACUGGCCCAAACAUAUCAUCUCUCUUGGAAGCAGUGAAUGAGAAAUUCACCAGGGAGAGAAACAGGGAGUAAAAGAUGUGCUUGUUCUGAGGGAAGCAGAACACCACUUGGGAGAUGGGUUCUCAAUUAUUAGAGUGAAUUGAGCCAUUAUUUCUCUGAGGAGACUGUUUUAUAGUCAUCAUUCAUUCAUUCAUCCAUCAAAAGCUUGACAAAGCGAAUGUUUGUUGACAUCCUAGGCACUGUGGGGGACACAUCUGGGCUCAUUCUCAAAAGAAUUUAAGUGGACCUGGGCAAUGAGAUAUAAAGUUGAAUUUCAAUUUAGAAAUUAAGUGACAGAAAAUGAGUUGUGAUUUUUAGCUUUCCCAGGACCAUCCUCCUUUUGGGUUUUUCUUUUGAGUGUCAAACUUUUUUGAUACUUCCCAAACUAGUUUACUUAAAACCACAAACUGCUCCUCUCCCCUCCCACUUCCCCUGCCCUCCCUUCCCCUGCCCCCCAUCUUUCAUUACACUUAGCACCUUCUAACAUCGUGUAAUGCUUAUUUCUUUGCUGUAUUCACUGAUUGUCUAUCUCUACAAAAACUUCAGCUCCACAAGGACAGAGACUCUUGUCUGCUAACUGACGUAUUUCAAGUACCUAAAAGAGUGUCUAGAAUAUGACAGGACCUAAUGAAGAAGGUAGGACUAUUUUUCUCCUCUUUUUGGCUAAUGGACUCCAGGAAGAUGUACUAUUUCAGUGUCAGUGUCGGUGUCAGCUUUUUCUUUAACAUCAGCUGAUCAGAGGUCCUUUCUCACCACCACCUGGAAGAACUUUUUUCUUCUACUUGGGAAAUUCAGAGAAGGAAAUCUGCAGGAUUUGUGUUAGAAAUAAGACUAAAUAAGAACUAGAAAUACCAUUUGGCGCAGCAAUCCCAUUACUGGGUAUAUACCCAAAGGAUUAUAAAUCAUCCUACUAUAAAGACACAUGCACACGUAUGUUUAUUGUGGCACUAUUCACAAUAGCAAAGACUUGGAACCAACCCAAAUGUCCAUCAAUGAUAGACUGGAUUAAGAAAAUGUUGCACAUAUACACCAAGGAAUGCCAUACAGCCAUAAAAAAGGAUGAGUUCAUGUCCUUUGCAGGGACAUGGAUGAAGCUGGAAACCACCAUUCUCAGCAAACUAUCACAAGGACAGAAAACCAAACACCCGCAUGUUCUCACUCAUAGGUGGGAACUGAACAAUGAGAUCACUUGGACACAGGGCGGGGAACAUCACACACCGGGGCCUGUCAGGGGGUGGGAGACUGGGGGAGGGAUAGCAUUAGGAGUAAUACCUAAUGUUUAAAUGAUGAGUUGAUGGGUGCAGCAAACCCACAUGGCACAUGUAUACCUAUGUGUCAAACCUGCACGCUGUGCACAUGUACCCUAGAACUUAAAGUAUAAUAAUAAUAAUAAUAAAAAGACUAACUAAGUCAGACUUAACUUUGAGAGCCUAUUUUCUAAUUUCUAAUUAUCUUGACAAUCUUUUAAGUUAUGAUUCAUAUAAAAUGAGGACUAAGGAGCAGCCUCUUACCAAAAUUUGCUCAAGUUCACAUGGUUGAUUUGUGGAAGGGAUGGGACUUGACCAAGGUCUGCCUAGCUUUAAAA